rnacentral:rRNA from 1 species
UGCUUAGUCAUAAAAAAUUAACUUACACUCACACCGCCCGGGAAUUACGAGCAUAAGCUUAAAACCCAAAGGACUUGACGGUGUCCCACCCAACUAGAGGAGCCUGUUUAAUAACCGAUACUACCCGAUAAACCUAACUGUUAUUUGACAAUCAGCCUGUAUACCUCCGUCGCAAGCUUGCCAUAUGAAUGACUUACAGCAAGCUCAAUGAAUUUUUAAUCAAAACGUCAGGUCAAGGUGCAGCCUACAUAACAGACUAAAAUGGGCUACAAUUUCUAUAUCAGAACAAACGAAAGGCCUCAUGAAAUCUAGCCAAGAAGGUGGAUUUAGCAGUAAAAAGAAAAUAGAGAGUUCUUUUAAAUAAGGCAAUGGGACGUGU